UUUUCACAGAUUUAUUGCACAUUCAUUAUGAAAAUCAUUGGUUCAAGUUUCCAUUCUAGAGGAUGGUCGGGCACAGGCAGCAGCCUGUGCAAUAUACAAGGUCUCUACCAAUAAACUCAGCCUGGCAACUGAGAUUUGAUGUAGAACUGUGUGCCAAAAGCUCAUCUGUUCUUCCCCAAAUAGCUUAAAAACAUGUCCCCAAAACAGGCUUUGCAGAAACCAUAAAACCAGGAGCUGAACAUGCAUUACAUGGUGAUCAUUACUGCCUUCUCUGGGGUAUGUGUUUCACAAGCCUCAAAAGAAGACCGGUCUGGUGAUCCUGAGCUAGGCAAGUACAGGGUCAUUUCUUAGUCUACCAGAAUUCAGAGAUUUCCAGGGCACACAGGGUUGUCCUGGUCAGUGUGCCAGACCCCCUCUAAGGCCACAGCCUGCAGCUGCACUGGCUUUCAGUCACAACAGCUAGUGUCCACCAGAAACGGGUGACUCCGCCAGCAACAACCACCAGCGCAGAGGGCAGGAGGUGGCCCUGUGAGCCCUGCUGACAGUGGCAAGACUGUAUCAGAGAACAGCAGAUGAAGCGCACAGCUCCUCUGCCAGGGACUGCAGUGGUGAAAAAGCUUCACUCCUUGCUUAAAAAUGUAUGCCUUGAUUCAGGGUCCAACUUCCACCCACUGGAACAUGUUUUACCUUUAUUUGCCCAAAACCAAGUGCCGCACUCUUCGAGUAGGUAUCUGAAAUACUUGAUGAAUCUGCUGGAGAACGCAGGCCUGAAGGGUGAGUGUGGAGCAGCCGGCUCAGCAGAACAUGGCUCAGUGGUCAUCACCUGCCAUGGUACGGGACACUGAAGGAAGAACAGGAUUAUCUGAAAGAGGAACACAUAAGCAUGUCGCUCCUCACCCAGUCCUGGAGCCGGGAACAAAGGGACUCACGGGCCUGCGCCCUGCUCGUUCCACGCCCGAGGCACACGGUGGCGGGUCCUGCAGGGCCGCACAGCCAUGAGGAGCAGGGCAGGAGGCCGGGCCGCGUCUCCUUCCCACCAGAGAAGGUCUCCGCGGCCGAGGCCUGGCGCGGCUCCGGGGGCGCGUUACCGCCCGCACCACCGCCGUUACGUGACCUGCGAGCGGAGCGAGGCCGGAAGCCGCCAUUCCCCACAGGAGGCCGCCCCAAUCACCGCGUGGCGCCGCCGCGGUCCCGGGGCGGGGUGCGCCGGCAGCCGCUCUCUGGCCGCGGGCAGGGCGGAGGAGGCGCGGCACUGCGCGGGGCCGCGGGUACCCACCGCCGCCUCCGUUUCCUGCGGCCGGAGGCC
rnacentral:lncRNA from 1 species